rnacentral:lncRNA from 1 species
CUAUAAAGGUCAUUGUUCCUUCACUCUCAAGUAAGAAUUUAGAGAUUAAAAAAAAUACUAAAAAAUUGAAUAACGGCUGAGUUUGAAAGAUUUGAAAGAACACUGCAAUUCUUGCAUCUUCUUUGGUUAAAAAUUGGUUCAAUUCUGCCACAAACUUCAUAGUUGGUCCGAGUAUUUGAGUCUCCAAGGAUUGGUCUUAAUCUGGCUUUUUACUGGUUCGAAGAAGCUGAAUUUUGCUUGGAGUUGAUGGUUUAUUACUGUUACAUUGCUGAUUGGCCUGCUGCUGUUACAUACUCCCUCACUCUAUUUGUUUUCUCUUGGCUUUUUCAGGUAUUUUUUGGAACUAUGGACAUCACUUGAGUGUAAUAUGGAAUUUGGAUUUGGAAAUGUGAUAAAACUGGUGUUGUUUGUUGUUGAAUUUCAUUUCUUCUCCCUUCAAUCUCAUUCAUGGCUGUAAUAUUUAGCUCUAGAGAUAUUUUGAUUAGUCUAUUGAUCAUGAAUGGGAUGUCGUAGCAUUAGAUUAAAGUUUUUAAAGCUGUCUGAUUCUUCUACUUAGUUGUCCGCUUGUUUGAAACUGGCUAUAGGUAAAGGAAAUGCCUUGUUAGGCCUGUGUUGAAUCGUUGGCUUGUGUUUGAAUGUUAUGUUGUUGGACUUGAUGUUUUAAAAUCACGGUUUCUUAAUGUCAAUCCCACCAGGUUCUAUUAAUAUGAGGUUUAUUUGAGGUUCAGAUUCUUAUGUGAUUGUUUUAAGUUAACUUGGGGUUUUAAAAGUUAAAUUUGCAUACUGUAUAGUUUCUAAAGAAUUAGAUUUUAACUGUUUUAAAAUCAUGUCAUUGUUGAAAUCUCACAUAAUUGUCUUUUGAGUUAGUUGGAGACUGAUUUACAUCUGAUUCCAUAUGCAGUGGUGUAUUGUUGAUAGCCAGUUGGGUUCAUGUUAAUACCCUUUCAUUUUCAGAUAUUGCUUGAGUGCCACAGGAUUCGAUCUCGAGUACUGUAUUCACCAACCCCAAGUGCUUGAAAGAUUUGGGCUCAUUUUGGGCCCAAGACCGAAGGCACUUGCAAUGGGAUUGUUUACCUUAUGUUAUUUGGGCUUGUUUUGUUUUGUCGAACUCAGUUUCCUCGGUUAGUUGCUGUUGUUGAAACAAUUUUUAUUUAGAUAAUUGGUUAUUUAAUAUGAUGCCUAUUAGUUGCUAAGUAGGUUCGAGCUUUUAGUUUAAAAAGUAAUUAGAAUUCCUUUAAGCUUUCCUUAAUUAACUAGACUCUUCAAAUGGGUUUGAGGUGUGCUUGUUAAAAUAAUUCAGAGGCGUGC